ensembl:snRNA U4 U4 spliceosomal RNA
AGCUUUGCGCAGCGGCAGUGUAGCCAAUGAGGUUUAUCCGAGGCGCAAUUAUUGCUAAUUGAAAACCUUUUCCCAAUACCCUGCCAUGACGACUUGAAAUAUAGUCAGCAUUGGCAAUUUUUGACAGACUCUACGGAGA